GAAUCGCCUUAAUUUUGAAAAUCGGAAAGCCAUUGGAUCGAGUUGAACAAAAGCCUAUUACAUUUCACGAAAUUGUGAACAUAUUACACAAGCCGCAAGUGAACACAUUGCAGAAGGUUUCAAACAUUAACUAAGUUCUGCGCAAGGUUAAUGAUAUCGUCCUAAAUUGAAGAUGCAAUAUGAAUGGCAACUACAAGAAUCCUGACGAUAUGCUGGAAUUAUCUUUGAUUUUUCUACGUAUGCAAGAGUCUGAACUAAGAAU